AUAUUAUGUAUUAUGAAAUAGAUUUCAGGGUAGCAUUGUUGGAAUAUAUUAAGGAAUUAUCACCAUAGUAAGCUAAAAUAAUAGGGCGAGGGAGUUUGCGCAACGCGCUGCUCGGAUGGUCUGCCAUGUACGUGCCAGCUUCGGCCGUUGGCGCGAAAACUGUGGGAAAGACAGGGACACUUCAGGAAGUCUCAGGCUGUUUUGGAGCCUUUCGUGGCUGUGCUAGCAAAUAGCAGGUCCCCAAGUUUGCUGGUGCUGGCAAAAACAGAAUCAAUGAAGCAUGGCAGACGCAGAAGCGGCACAAUAAGGCGAAAGGAAGAGCGUAUCCUGCUACUGUAUGGGCUGGAUCAACCUCAACUUGUAACUGGUGGUAGCUACUCCAUCCAUUAAUUCUUUCCCUCUGUUGAGACAACUUAAAAGUACUAAACCACUACUCUAACUCUCCUAUUUUUCCCUGACUUUUGAUCACAGUCUCUUCUCAAUUAAUUAUGUCUUACCAUAAAAGAUACAGGCAGAUACAACGUGAGCUCAAGGAACUGUUGGUUAGUAGUAGUGAAGAGGAAGCUGACUGGGUUCAUCAAAACACCAAAAUUCCCAAACUUUACCAUAAUAACUCUGACCCAUCUUUAAGCUUUUCUGACCAGGACAGUUGUGAAAGUACAUCCUUAUCCCCCUUGAUAGUAACUGCACCAGAAGAAUUAAGCACAGAUGAUGAGAGUCACCACCAUAUAUCUGAUUUGGCACUUGAAGAAGGAUUAGCUUUAUGGGCAUCAAAAAAUAACAUUACACGCCAGGCAGCAAAUGAAUUAUUGGAGCUGUUGAGGAAUA